UUGCACCUUUUAAGUUGAGUGGCGAAAGGGUGAUUAACACGUUGAACCACCUGCCUCCUGGCUGGGGAUAAAGUUUGGAAACAGAUGCUAAUACCGAAUAAAACUUAAUGUCGCAAGACACCAAGUUAAAAGGCGCUUCGGCGUCACCUAAAGAUGGAUCCGCGGUGCAUUAGUUAUUUGGUGGGGGAAAGGCCUACCAAGACAAUGAUGCCUAGCCGAAUUGAAAAACUGAUCCGCCACAUUGGGACUGAAACACGGCCCAAACUCCUACGGGAGGCUGGAAUAGGGAAUCUUCCACCAUGGGCGAAAGCCUGAUGGAGCAACGCCGCGUGUGUGAUGAAGGCUUUCGGGUCGUAAAGCACUGUUGUAUGGGAAGAACAGCUAGAAUAGGAAAUGAUUUUAGUUUGACGGUACAAUACCACAAAGGGACGGCUAAAUACGUGCCAGCAGCCGCGGUAAUACGUAUGUCCCGAGCGUUAUCCGGAUUUAUUGGGCGUAAAGCGAGCGCAGACGGUUUAUUAAGUCUGAUGUGAAAGCCCGGAGCUCAACUCCGGAAUGGGAUUGGAAACUGGUUAACUUGAGUGCAGUACAGGUAAGUGGAACUCCAUGUGUAGCGUUGGAAUGCGAAAAUAUAGGGAAAAACACCAUUGGCGAAGGCGCCUUACUGGACGGCAACUGACGUUGAGGCUCAAAGGUGUGGGUAGCAGACAGGAUUAUAUACCCUGGUACUCCACACCGUAAACGAUGAACACUAUGUGUUAGGAGGUUUCCGCCUCUUAGUGCCGACGCUGCGCAUAAGUGUUCCGCCUGGCGACUACGACCGCGAGGUGAACUCAGAGUAGUUGACGGGGACCCGCACAAGCGGUGCAGCAGGUUGAUUUAGUUCUGAACACCACAAAGAACCCUAGCAAUGUCUUGACUUCCCUGUGAAACUUUACAAGAUUGAAAUGUUCCUCUACGUAUAUCACGUGACAGGUGGUCCAUGUCCGCCUGCACCUCGCGUCGUGGGAUUGUUGG
rnacentral:rRNA from 1 species